AGUGUACAAAGGAUCAAAUGUAUUUUGUGACGCCAUGGUGUGGAAGGCAGCCACUCAAGCAAAUUCUCCAACUGCUAUGGCCAGGACCCUUUUGCUUGGGGUAUUUGAUAUGGCUACUCUGUUGAGAAGUAACCUUAGAGGUGGCAAAAGUAAAAGAGCGAAUUAUGCAGACCAAAAAGAAGGAUUAGAUCCUGCAAAGCUUGAUGCAAUUUACAAUGCUACAAUGGAAAAAUUCCCCAAUGCCAAAAGGGGACAAAUUGGUGUUGGGAUUAACUCAAAGCUAUCAGAAAUCAGAUUUAGAUACAGACGCGCCAAGCAAGAUAAAGGAUGUGAUAUUUUUUGUUGACAUAAGCACAAAUGAAACAAUUUUGAACUUAUGUCACAGAAGUAAACUGCUGAAGAGCAAAAUAUUCCAUGGCACCAGAAGAGCAAGGAGCUGUCCAUGAAAGUCUGUACUGCAAAUGGAGCAAACCAAGCAACAGUCUAAUUGGCCCUGUGCAAAGUGAUCUAUACUCUAAACUCUGGCUGUAUAUUUUUUUUUUAUUAUUUGAAGCAUUAAAUAAAAUUAUUAGAGCAUGACACUUCUUCCAAAACAUUAUGUUGCAGGCUUUCUUUUAAGGGUAAUAUUCUAAAUGGACCGAUGUAAAAAGUUUUAGAAAUGCUUCUACUGUACAUAUCCACUGUGAGGUAACAUUAUUGGUUAUCAGGGGAAGGUUUUAUGGAAUAUAAUGAAAAGUAAUAAUACUGCAAAUUUGUUUGAAAACUUUAUAAUAUAUAUCAAUGUGAUUCAUUUUAUACCAUGGGCCUGCUGGUUUUUUAAGGCAGCACUUGCUGCACAGCUCCAGUGUCCUGGGUUUGAAUUUCAGUUCAGCCUUAGUCCAGCAUGCUAUUUAUACAUUUUCUGGUAACACUUCAGGUACUAUACAAAUUCAUGUAUUACUCAUUACCCUUUAUGGAUCAAUACCUUAAUACAGGCUUCUUUUGGUCUUGAUGACACUUAUAAAACAUCAGUAGAUGGGUUAUUCAACUCCGUACCAUGUGGCAUAAAUUCCUUGUUAAUAUGAAGGGCUCACAGGUCAUUUACUAAAUAACACAAGAGGAGUGUGUCUCUGUUAAGCAACCUCAGACCACUCCAACAUGAAGUUUUAUUAGUAAAUCCCAUUGCCAGGAUGAAUUAACGCUCUACUGAUGCUUUGUAAGUGUUAAAAAAGCCCUAAAGAAGUGUAUGUUAAGGUCUUGUUACAUAAUAAUUAAAGAGUAAAAGGUGCGUUUUUGAAGUACCUAAACUAAAGUGUUACCCAUUUUCCUAGUAUUCUGGGUUUCAACCACAUCCCAAAGGCGUACAUCCAUCCAUCCAUCCAUUUUCUAACCCGCUGAAUCCGAAUACAGGGUCACGGGGGUCUGCUGGAGCCAAUCCCAGCCAACACAGGGCACAAGGCAGGAACCAAUCCUGGGCAAUCCUCUUCAGGUUCCUUGGCAUUUACAUCAGUGAAGUUUUUAUCUGGUCUCUCAGAACCAACCGCUGGCUAAGAAAUGCCAACUGUAUCUAUAGAAAUUUGAUAUGUCAGCAAUAAUCCUUAGCAAUUUUUAUAGGUGUGAUAUAGAGAGCAUCCUGACCGGUGCUGUUACAGUCUGGUUUGAGAAUUGCUUUUUGUAGGCUCACAAAACUUUGCAGUGGGUGGUGAGAACCAUCUCUGGCUAAGAUCUAUUACAGUAGGGUUAUCAGGAGGGCCAGCAAUAUCAUGAAUUAGAUUAGGUAUCCACAACGCAGUUCAUUUGUACUUUUGCCACCAUGCAGAUGUUAUAGGAGCAUAAAACUCAGGACAACGAGAGUACAGAUUUAAUUAAUUGGUGACUACAUUUACCCGAUGUGCUUGGGUACCCAAGUGUGUCUUGUAAUGUACAGAAGCCUUCUACAUGCUUGGCACCACCAAAGGCUCAAGCUCUCUGCAACACUCUGCAGGAAUAGCAAAGUUGGGGAAAACAAUGUAAUGUAUUAUUCUAAAAACAUUCAAUCUCAGUCUGAAAUAAUCAAACAUUUUUCAGAAUAUUGAAAAAAAACAUUCUCAGAUCUGCUUAAUCCAGAUCAGCAUUACAAAGGGCCACAAAGCAGGUGGCAUUUCUGGACAAGACACCAGGAUCCUGUCUCACCUCACAUCACAGGGCCUGAAUGCAAUGUGUCUUUUUCAAAAUGUCUGAAAACUGUGAAACUGAAUUCUACUUUUAUUCAAGUGUCUGUGUUGGUUAUAUUUUCAAAACUCCUUUUGUUUUUGUAAUUGCCAUAUCACUAAAGUGUGCAAUGCUGUGAACAUGUCCGCAAGUUUUAUGACAGAUUAAUUAAUGACGUUGUAAACAGUAAGGGCAUCAAGUGGCUCUGCCCCCUUGAAUGAGUGCCAACUCCCCUGAGAGGUAUUUGACCGUAAUUAAAUAUAAUUUACACAUUAUCUGUAGAAACUUCAAAUGGGAAAAUUGAACGAAUGAAAAGGCAAACACUAAAUCCUAGGUUUGGGAUGCCAUUCCUUCAUGAAGUAAAGAAGCUCACUGAUGGUUUUACAGCACAUUUUGCUGUUUGAUUUUAAAGGGACUUUUAUAACACUCAGAGACAUCCUAGUACUCUUCAUACUUCAAGAAUGUCCUGACAUUAAAUCUUUAAACUGGGCAGCUACUCUGAUUUUUACAGAGGCACACUGCUUGGAACGUGGUGAUAUGAUCAAAUGUGCUGAAAAUUGCAAUUCUGACACCAUCUGUAUGCUUGGCUUCAGAAGAGGAAUGCAUGCAAAAGAAUCUCAUAUUCAUUGGAAAUACUACAGUAGAUCAUGGACAUCAUGGGUCUGUAUUUCUGCCUCUGGAGCUGGAGCCCAUGUUAAAAUCAGCGGCACUGGAAAUGCUACUAAAUUUCACAAUGUUCCAGAAAGAAAUGUGUCUGCUUCUGCCAGAAAGGUUUGGCUUGAUUAUAGUUGGAGUUUUUCUGUGACAAGAAGAAGUACAAACACACCUCAUAGCACAGCUGAGUGAACAUUUACUAUGACCAUCUUGGUCUCAAGACUUUAAUUGAAAGCCUGUAGCCUGAUGUGAAGCAUGCAGUCCAUAAAUGUAGACCCUUCUGUCCAUCAGAAAAGUUGUGGCUAGUCCAAAAUCCCUUUCAGGGUGUUCCUCAAACACAUUCAAGAACUUUGUGCUAUGUAGGCCUAUGUAAGAAGGUCAGGGCUGCGGUUAACAGUGUCGUGGACCCUUUCCUGGAAUGGCUAUCAGUGAUAACAUCUGUCAGGGAUGCUAACAUAAUAAAUGGCCAGUCUAAUGAAGGUAAGUAUUCCAGAGAUGAUGGAAAGCCUCCUCAUUAAGACUAUCGGACAUAUCAUAGGUAAGGAUUCGGGAUUGCAGUGACAUAUGGGGCCACUUGCAGAGAGGUCUUUGUGGAGGGGUCCAGGAGUUUUCAGACUCCAUAGGUUGUACCAGCUGAAGGUUCAAAAGCUUCUACUGGACUCCAGAAAAUGUUAUCAAAGAGAUGGGGAUUCUGCAGGGCUGAAUACUAAGUCUUAGGCUCUGUACUCUUUUUUUUUUAAGUUAUGACUGUGUUGCUAACCAGGAAAACACCAGUAUCAUCAAAUUUGCUGGUGAUAUCACAGACAUUGGUGGUAUAAUUAUUUGGAUGGAUCUGGUGGCACGGUGCCAGGUCAUCAGUCUCUUACUCAAGGUCAGUAAGACAAAGGAGAUGAUUCUAGAAAUAUGGAAGAGGAGGGAACAGCACAAAGCACUGCACAUUGGUGAGACAGAGUUAACAUCUUCAGGUUCCUUGGCAUUUACAUCAGUGAGGUUUUUAUCUGGUCUCUCAGAACCAACCGCUGGCUAAGAAAUGCCAACAGUAUCUAUAGAAAUUCGAUAUGUCAGCAAUAAUCCUUAGCAAUUUUUAUAGGUGUGAUAUAGAGAGCAUCCUGACCGGUGCUGUUACAGUCUGGUUUGGGAAUUGCUUUUUGUAGGCUCACAAAACUUUGCAGUGGGUGGUGAGAACCAUCUCUGGCUAACAUCUAUUACAGUAGGGUUAUCAGGAGAGCCAGCAAUAUCAUGAAGGGGAUUAGGUAUCCACAACGCAGUUCAUUUGUACUUUUGCCACCAUGCAGAUGUUAUAGGAGCAUAAAACUCAGGACAACGAGAGUUCAGGACAAUUUCUACCCAAAAGCCA